GAAUAAUUAAAACUAACCAAGUUUGUUUUAGAAAACUCAAGUUAAAAAUCAAAACAUCCUUUAAAGUAUUUCUACAGAUUUCAAUAUGUGAAACAUUACUUUAACCGCGAUCCUUACAUCCUAACCUUUAAAAGAUUUAGUCAGACAUGGUAACACAAACAAACAUAACGGUGUUAAUCAUGAUGAAAAGUUUGUUUUAGAAUGUGAGACGUAGAAAGCGAGUAAAGUGCGUAAAAUAAAUAAAAUAAAAGCGAGUGCGGGAAAUAAAUAAAGUAAAGCGAGUGCGG
rnacentral:lncRNA from 1 species